AGUGAACGCUGGCGGCAGGCCUAAUACAUGCAAGUCGAACGGCAGCACAGUGGAGCUUGCUCCAUGGGUGGCGAGUGGCGGACGGGUGAGGAAUACAUGGGAAUCUGCCCAGUCGUGGGGGAUAACGUAGGGAAACUUACGCUAAUACCGCAUGCGCCCUUCGGGGGAAAGCCGGGGACCUUCGGGCCUGGCGCGAUUGGAUGAGCCCAUGUUCGAUUAGCUAGUUGGCGGGGUAAAGGCCCACCAAGGCGACGAUCGAUAGCUGGUCUGAGAGGAUGAUCAGCCACACUGGGACUGAGACACGGCCCAGACUCCUACGGGAGGCAGCAGUAGGGAAUAUUGGACAAUGGGCGCAAGCCUGAUCCAGCCAUGCCGCGUGAGUGAAGAAGGCCCUCGGGUUGUAAAGCUCUUUUGUCCGGGAAGAAAAGCAUCGGGCUAAUACCUCGGUGUUCGGACGGUACCGGAAGAAUAAGCACCGGCUAACUUCGU
rnacentral:rRNA from 1 species